rnacentral:rRNA from 1 species
UUUUCCUACGGGGCGCAGCAGUGGGGAAUAUUGGGCAAUGGGCGAAAGCCUGACCCAGCAACGCCGCGUGAAGGAAGAAGGCUUUCGGGUUGUAAACUUCUUUUGACAGGGAAGAGCAGAAGACGGUACCUGUCGAAUAAGCCACGGCUAACUACGUGCCAGCAGCCGCGGUAAUACGUAGGUGGCAAGCGUUGUCCGGAUUUACUGGGUGUAAAGGGAGCGUAGACGGCCAGACAAGUCUGAAGUGAAAAUCCAGCGCUUAACGUUGGAAGUGCUUUGGAAACUGCCGGGCUAGAGUGCAGGAG